rnacentral:rRNA from 1 species
CCUACGGGUGGCAGCAGUAGGGAAUCUUCCACAAUGGGCGAAAGCCUGAUGGAGCAACGCCGCGUGGGUGAAGAAGGUCUUCGGAUCGUAAAACCCUGUUGUUAGAGAAGAAAGUGCGUGAGAGUAACUGCUCACGUUUCGACGGUAUCUACCCAGAAAGCCACGGCUAACUACGUGCCAGCAGCCGCGGUAAUACGUAGGUGGCAAGCGUUAUCCGGAUUUAGUGGGCGUAAAGGGAACGCAGGCGGUCUUUUAAGUCUGAUGUGAAAGCCUUCGGCUUAACCGGAGUAGUGCAUUGGAAACUGGGAGGCUUGAGUGCAGGAGAGGGGGGUAGAACUCCAUGUGUAGCGGUGAAAUGCGUAGAGAUGUGGAGGAACACCGGAGGCGAAGGCGGCUCUCUGGGCUGUAACUGACGCUGAGGUUCGAAAGCGUGGGUAGCAAACAGGAUUAGAUACCCGUGUAGUC